UCAAUCAACUUUUUUAUCUAAAUAAAUGCAUUAUGAUUAAAAUUUGAAGAUUAAAAAUGAUUAAAAAAAAGAAAGAAAGAAAGAAUUAGGCCAAAGUGAUACAAGAGUAUAAAAGGCUAAAUUUAUAUGCCAAAAAGUGGACAAGGAAACACCUUUCCGGGUAAAAUUUGUUGUCUCGGUUCACUGCUCCUAUUCCUAUUAGUACUAAAGCUUAGCUUAAAGAAAUGGAAUAAGAGCUUGGCAUUGGCUCAUUAGCCGAACAUUGCCUUAGCAGCUGCCGUCCGCCCAAUACUUGCCUAUACAACUAUGCUCUUGCAGCCGUUGAGAGCCCUGCUGCAGCAUUUGCUUAAAGGUUUUAAAGGCAUAGUGUGGCACUUCACAUGCAUUGCACCAUCACCAUUACCUGUGCCUGUUCUCCACAAGUUGCAACCAAUUCUUGACAGGCCUUUUUGCUAAUAAUAGACUCAAGACGUGAGAAUGUGAGAGCUAGUUUCUAGCCACUUGAUUCGUCUCAGAAUUUAAUGAGGUGUGCAUAGGACAGUGGGGCCAAACAUUCACAGCGUGCCACCGGUUGUGAUCUUGUAAAGAAAAAGGCUCAAGACUUUUAGGUACAUACAGACCGUGCAGCCUGUGUGCAGGAGCUAUAUGCAAAAUUUCAGUCCCAAUGUCGAGUAAAAUGCAAGUGUAGACAUUGCAGGGGUAAGAGCAAAUGCUCCAUUCCCUUUUUCUACCAAGGCAGAAAAGGGGGGGUCGAUCUAAGCCAGACCACAUCUUUCGUUGUGCGAUUAUCCGAUGGUUUUGGUUAAUAUUAGAUAGCUUCGCUAGCAAGUUGGCAUUAACGAUUGUAAGUUGUUGGAUUCCAUGUACAAUAUUUGUGAUUCUUUAAAUUGUUUUUUUACGCUAUCAAAU
rnacentral:lncRNA from 1 species